AACGAACGCUGGCGGCAGGCUUAACACAUGCAAGUCGAGCGCAGCGGCAGACGGGUGAGUAACGCGUGGGAAUCUACCCAUCUCUACGGAAUAACCCAGGGAAACUUGGACUAAUACCGUAUAGAGAUGGAUGAGCCCGCGUUGGAUUAGCUAGUUGGUGGGGUAAUGGCCUACCAAGGCGACGAUCCAUAGCUGGUCUGAGAGGAUGAGCAGCCACAUUGGGACUGAGACACGGCCCAAACUCCGACGGGAGGCAGCAGUGGGGAAUCUUGGACAAUGGGCGAAAGCCUGAUCCAGCCAUGCCGCGUGAGUGAUGAAGGCCCUAGGGUUGUAAAGCCCUUUCAACGGUGAAGCGGUAACCGUAGAAGAAGCCCCGGCUAACUUCGUGCCAGCAGCCGCGGUAAUUC
rnacentral:rRNA from 1 species